rnacentral:lncRNA from 1 species
AAUAAUGACAAAUGACAUUAGGAUUAUGCAUUCGUCUAGGUUGAUAGUAGUUGGACGGACGAAAUUUGUUUACUCUAUUUUCGACAAUAUAACUAUUGUGCAUUUCAUGAAAAUCAUUUCUCCUUCUAUUUGUUCUAGGAUAUGCAGCAUUUCUAGAAUAGUUAAUUCUAGGUUGAAAGCCAUUUCUAGGUGUCCUAAAAUGUUCAACGUUUCUUCUAGUAUUUGGUCUAGGAUAUGCAUCAUUUAUAGAAUAGUUAUUUCUAGGUUGAAGGCCAUUUGUAGGUGUCCUAAAAUGUUCAAAGUUUCUUCUAGUGUUUGGUCUAGCAUGCAUGUUGAUUCUAGGAUUGUUAUCUCUAGGAUGAACAUUUG